AACAGAUGUUUUAUUGAAUGCCUAAGACCUGCCAAUGCUAUGUUGGUACAAAGACUACAAAUCCCAGUGCCUGGCCAUCAAGGUGAUCAGGGGCAAAAUGUGCCUAGUGAGUAAGGAUGAGUCAGGGGUGACAAUAUGUUGAGCUUGGAUGAUGGAAAGAAAGAUAAAUCCAUGAGAGAUGAAAAACUUGCAUCUUUUUCCCACAUGAUGAUUUUAAGCAUCUUUGUAUUUUCUAACUUGGUGAUUAUCAAGUGAAGCAGAAGCCAUGACCAUUUAUAUACUGUAUAUGUGCCUUCCCCAUGGAACUUUUUUAGGGCACUAAGAAUUUCAAAUUCUAAGAAUGAAAUGUUUUCAUGUCUUUUUUAUUCAGGGAAAUGAAAAAGAAAAAACUUCCAAGUGACUCAGGAGAUUUAGAAGCGUUAGAGGGAAAGGAUAAAGAAAAAGAAAGUACUGUACACAUUGAAACUCAUCAGAACACAAGCAAAAAUGUUGCGGCUGUGCAGCCAAUGAAACGAGGACAAAAGAGUAAAAUGAAAAAAAUGAAAGAAAAAUACAAAGACCAGGAUGAAGAAGACCGUGAACUUAUCAUGAAGUUGCUGGGG
rnacentral:lncRNA from 10 species